AUGGCCACAUCACAGUAAAACAUCAGUUUCUGUAUGAUCACUGAAGUUAAGCAACAUUGAGCCCAAUCAGUACCUAGAUUAAUGACCACUUGGGAAUACCAGGUGCUGUAAG